rnacentral:rRNA from 1 species
UACGUAGGGCGCAAGCGUUAUCCGGAAUUAUUGGGCGUAAAGAGCUCGUAGGCGGUUUGUCGCGUCUGCCGUGAAAGUCCGGGGCUCAACUCCGGAUCUGCAGUGGGUACGGGCAGACUAGAGUGCGGUAGGGGAGAUUGGAAUUCCUGGUGUAGCGGUGGAAUGCGCAGAUAUCAGGAGGAACACCAAUGGCGAAGGCAGAUCUCUGGGCCGUAACUGACGCUGAGGAGCGAAAGCAUGGGGAGCGAACAGG